rnacentral:rRNA from 1 species
AGAGUUUGAUCAUGGCUCAGGACGAACGCUGGCGGUGCGCCUAAUGCAUGCAAGUCGAACGGUCCCGGUUCGCUUCGGCUUAUCGGGAUAGUGGCGGACGGCUGAGUAACACGUAAGUAACCUGUCCCGAAGAGGGGGAUAAUUCCGAGAAAUCGGGCCUAAUACCCCGUAAUGUCCCAUUCAACACGUUGGACGGGACGAAAGGUCCUCGCUUCGGCGGGUGCCGCUUUGGGAGGGGCUUGCGGCCUAUCAGGUUGUUGGUGGGGUAAGAGCCUACCAAGCCGAAGACGGGUAGCCGGUGUGAGAGCAUGAUCGGUCAGAGGGGGACUGAGACACGGCCCCCACUCCUACGGGAGGCAGCAGCAAGGAAUCUUGCGCAAUGGGCGAAAGCCUGACGCAGCGACACCGCGUGGGGGAAGAAGGCCCUAGGGUUGUAAACCCCUUUUCUCGGGGAAGAGUAAGGAC